rnacentral:rRNA from 1 species
UAAUACAUGCAAGUCGAGGGGCAGCAGGUUUGUAGCAAUACAGAUGCUGGCGACCGGCAAACGGGUGAGGAACACGUACAGAACCUUCCUUCGAGCGGGGAAUAGCCCAGAGAAGUUUGGAUUAAUACCCCAUAGUAUACCGGAGAGGCAUCCCUCUGUUAUUAAAGAUUUAUCACUUGAAGAUGGCUGUGCGGCUGAUUAGGUAGUUGGCGGGGUAACGGCCCACCAAGCCUACGAUCAGUAACUGGUGUGAGAGCACGACCAGUCACACGGGCACUGAGACACGGGCCCGACUCCUACGGGAGGCAGCAGUAAGGAAUAUUGGUCAAUGGACGAAAGUCUGAACCAGCCAUGCCACGUGGAGGAUGAAGGUCCUCUGGAUUGUAAACUUCUUUUAUAUGGGACGAAAAAAGGGUUUUCUAACUCGACUGACGGUACCAUAUGAAUAAGCACCGGCUAACUCUGUGCCAGCCGCCGCGGUAAUUCAAUCCCGCGGCCAUGGCGGCCGG